CGGUACUGCCGGUCUUAAGCCGGAGAAGUGGGAUGACGUCAAGUCAGCAUGGCCUUUUAUGUCCUGGGCUACACACACGCUACAAUGGCCAACACAAUAGGUUGCUAAGCCGCGAGGUGGAGCCAAUCCUCAAAGUUGGCUCAGUUCAGAUUGCAGGCUGCAACCCGCCUGCAUGAAGAUGGAGUUGCUAGUAACCGCAGGUCAGCUAUACUGCGGUGAAUACGUUCCCGGGGCUU
rnacentral:rRNA from 1 species